rnacentral:rRNA from 1 species
GGGACGAACGCUGGCGGCGUGCUUAACACAUGCAAGUCGAGCGGUGAUCCUCCUUCGGGAGGUGAUCAGCGGCGAACGGGUGAGUAACACGUGGGCAACCCUGCCCCUCACACUGGGAUAAACCUCGGGAAACCGGGGCUAAUACCGGAUACGACCUCGAGCGGCAUCUCUUGAGGUGGAAGCUCCGACGGUGAGGGAUGGGCCCGCGGCCUAUCAGCUUGUUGGUGGGGUAAUGGCCUACCAAGGCGACGACGGGUA